ACUCAAAGGAAUUGACGGGGGCCCGCACAAGCGGCGGAGCAUGUUGCUUAAUUCGACGCAACGCGAAGAACCUUACCAAGGCUUGACAUCACCCGGAAACCGGCGGAGACGUCGGCCUCUUCGGACUGGGUGACAGGUGGUGCAUGGCUGUCGUCAGCUCGUGUCGUGAGAUGUUGGGUUAAGUCCCGCAACGAGCGCAACCCUUGCUCCAUGUUGCCAGCAACCGUUUCGGCGGGUUGGGGACUCAUGGGGGACUGCCGGGGUCAACUCGGAGGAAGGUGGGGAUGACGUCAAGUCAUCAUGCCCCUUAUGUCUUGGGCUGCAAACAUGCUACAAUGGCUGGUACAGAGGGCUGCUAGACCGCAAGGUGGCGCGAAUCCCUAAAAGCCAGUCUCAGUUCGGAUUGGGGUCUGCAACUCGACCCCAUGAAGUCGGAGUCGCUAGUAAUCGCAGAUCAGCAAUGCUGCGGUGAAUACGUUCCCGGGCCUUGUACACACCGCCCGU
rnacentral:rRNA from 1 species